GGACAACCUACCCUCAGAUCGGGGAUAACUCCGGGAAACUGGAGAUAAUACCGGGUAAUCCGUGAACGCUGGAAUGCCUUACGGUUUAAAGCUUUAGCGUCUGAGGAUGGGUCUGCGGCCGAUUAGGUAGUUGCUGGGGUAACGUCCCAACAAGCCGAUAAUCGGUACGGGUUGUGAGAGCAAGAGCCCGGAGAUGGAUUCUGAGACACGAAUCCAGGUCCUACGGGGCGCAGCAGGCGCGAAAACUUUACACUGCGCGAAAGCGCGAUAAGGGGACCUCGAGUGCGUGCGCAAUGCGUACGCUUUUCAUACGCCUAAAAAGCAUGUGGAAUAAGAGCCGGGCAAGACCGGUGCCAGCCGCCGCGGUAACACCGGCGGCUCGAGUGGUGGCCGCUAUUAUUGGGCUUAAAGGGUCCGUAGCCGGACCAGUUAGUCCCUUGGGAAAUCUUACGGCUUAACCGUAAGGCUGCCAAUGGAUACUGCUGGUCUUGGGACCGGGAGAGGCAAGAGGUACCUCAGGGGUAGGAGUGAAAUCCUGUAAUCCUUGAGGGACCGCCAGUGGCGAAGGCGUCUUGCUAGAACGGGUCCGACGGUGAGGGACGAAAGCUAGGGGCACGAACCGGAUUAGAUACCCGGGUAGUCCUAGCCGUAAACGAUGCGAGCUAGGUGUCACGUGGAUUGCGAAUCCAUGUGGUGCCGUAGGGAAACCGUGAAGCUCGCCGCCUGGGAAGUACGGCCGCAAGGCUGAAACU
rnacentral:rRNA from 1 species